CCUACGGGUGGCAGCAGUGAGGAAUAUUGGUCAAUGGACGCGAGUCUGAACCAGCCAAGUCGCGUGAAGGAUGACUGCCCUAUGUGUUGUAAACUUCUUUUAUAUGGGAAUAAAAUCUUCCACGCGUCGGCGUUUGUAUGUACCAUAUGAAUAAGGAUCGGCUAACUCCGUGCCAGCAGCCGCGGUAAUACGGAGGAUCCGAGCGUUAUCCGGAUUUAUUGGGUUUAAAGGGAGCGUAGGUGGAUUGUUAAGUCAGUUGUGAAAGUUUGAGGCUCAACCGUAAAAUUGCAGUUGAAACUGGCAGUCUUGAGUACAGUAGAGGUGGGCGGAAUGCGUGGUGUAGCGGUGAAAUGCUUAGAUAUCACGAAGAACUCCGAUUGCGAAGGCAGCUUACUGGACUGCAACUGACACUGAGGCUCGAAAGUGUGGGUAUCAAACAGGAUUAGAUACCCGUGUAGUC
rnacentral:rRNA from 1 species